CGUCUGCUCGCCUCACUUCCUGGUUGACUGUGUGAAUUUGUCCAAACAUGACCGCGUGUGCUGUGUACAGGUAGAAUAGAUCAAAGGUAUACCUUUUUUGUACCUCAUGGCUUCUGUCAGUGACCUGCAAGCUCGACGAGUUGAAAAUUAUAAUACACGCACUCUGUUGAACUCAGAAGGCGUUUAUGAAGCAGCAGAAGAUAAUUCAUCCCAGAUCAUUCUAGAGAACCCCGAUCCUGAUAUCGUUAAAACAAUCUCACAUUAUUUUGAUGCUGCUCUCAGUGGGCAGAAAUAUGUGUUAUCCCAUCCCGUCGCAGACCAUGGCACUGAGUCUUCAGCAGACAGUAGGGAUUCAGGGGACAGCCUGUUCAUAACUCAAGUGCCAGUGUCUGAGGUGGUGAGGUCUGUGAGAAGAUCUCACUCAAAGGAGAGGUCAGAGUUCACAUGUACCAUAGAAUCAGAGGAGGAGAGUGGGGGCGAAGAUGGACCUGCCACUACCCAAAGGAAGCAGCAGGUCUCACAGGCAAUGAAACAUCACAAGAGGAAAGCAGAGAAGCAUGGCCUGAAAAAGUACUCCUUUCCCUUUCUGGGGAGCGUUUACAGAAGUAAACCCCUAUCUAGUCGAGAGUGGGCUUACAGAAACACACACCUACCACUAUUAAAUAGUGUGACCUUCUCAAGUAAGGCAAUUGGAGGCUUUUUUAGAUGUGUCAAAACACUGAAGAAGUUCUCUAAAGGAAAAGCGACUUUAGCUUCAGCUUUACCAAACAGAUAUCUGGAUGAGGAAGGUGAACUGUCUCCAUUGUCAGAACAGGAGGUGGAAUCUGAAGGUAGUGAUGAUGACAUCAGAGUGGUGAAAAAUACACUUUUAAUGCCAUUCCUGAAAAAGAAAAAUAGGCGAACUUGGCGUUAUCCAUCAUCUGAAGCUGAAAAGCAAUGCAGAAAGUUUUCAUCUGUAAGCAAAGACUCCACCGCCAAUACAAAGAAACGGAGCACAAAGAAAACACAACACCUCCCUCAUGUUAAACAAACUCUUUCCUUGGUUUCCAAAAUGAUUAAAGAUACACCAUCAAAGCAGAGUUUUGCUGGGUCACAGCGAAUCGUACCUGAGAAAUGUAACAUGGCAGAAGAAGAGACUAACCCAGAGUCAGUCAGUUGCGUUAGGAGAUGUUCGUCUGGUAGGAGUUUAGUCCGCAAUGAAACAGAAGAACCUGGUAUACAUUUAGCUGACAAUACAGACGGACAGGAAGAGAACGACAACAUAGACAUUUCAUUGACAGGAUGGAAGACAAUGCUGAAUAUCGGAUUUGUCAGUGAGGAAGUAGAGGGGAGUAGAAUAGACCAGGCAGUGGACAUAAUGAGUUCACCUAUUAAUGAAGUGCAGGAAAGUGAAGGAAGCUGUUUGGAGAGGACCCAAGUGGGCAGAGCCAUGACCCCCAGUGUGACUGGGCAGCGCCCUGAUCAUGACCAUCAGAACCAGACAAGAGAAACAGAGGCUGAUCCUGGAAUUAAAGGUCACAAACCCCCUUCAACAGAUCCAGUGCUCACAAAUGACUGUACAAAUGUUGAUGCUGUGGGAGACUAUGAACAGAAGGGAAAGAAGAGGAAGAAAAAGAACAGGAAAAGAGAGGGAGGAGAUGAUGAAAGUAUAGAGGACCGAGUUGGGCAGCCUCCAUGCCAAGAAGCUCCAGAUUAUCAGGAACUUGUCACCUGUGUGAGUACAAGCACCAUACAGGGAGGAGAGGCUCCUGAGAUAACCCAGGAUAACAAGGCAGAGCAUUCUGUGUCCGUGUCUGGUGAAAUGAUUAUGCCACAGAAAAAGAAGAGAAAAAAGGAGAGGAGGAGGGAUUCACCAUGCCAUGUUGAUACAGAUAUAGGCCUAAAACAGGAAGAUAACCCCAAGCUAUCAUCCCAUGCUGGAGGUGGUGCUAUAGUUCAGACUGAAGACAUAGAACUGAAGAAAAAGUAUAAGAAUUCCACAGCACAUGCCAUCCUGGAGGAAGGACCAGAAAAAGGACAUUUUCUGAAUUUGAGUUUGGAAUCACAGUUAGAUGAGGUAAUAGGACCCCAAAAGGGAACAAACAUUUCAACCCUCCCUGAAGAUACUGUCAAAAACCUACAGGUAAAUGCUACUGAUAUAAGACAGAAAACAAUUGAGUGCUCUAUAGUCAAAUUUACUAAAUUGGUAGCCCAGAGAAAGAAGCAUAAAACCAUGGCACCAAUAGACAAUUCUUUGGCACAGAGUGACGGCACAAUUUAUUUUAGGAAAAAGAAAAGGGCAAAGAAAGAUAGGGAUUCCUGCAGCAAUGAAAUGGUGGGAAAUUAUACUGAAAUUCCUCUGACUACAAGUACUUUAUCUCAAUCUGGUGAAAUCGUUACACUGGAGAAGAAAAAUCGCAAACGAGAUAAGAAACAGAAUUCUGACAUUCAUGAAGAUUCUUUGGCCAGACCUAAAGAGAAUGUUGUGACCCAUGAGAGGUCUGAAGACAAGGUUACGGAGAAGAAGCGGAAGAAGAGGAGGAAAUCUUCAACUGAAGAUGGCGCCGUUGUUCAACAACAAGAGGAUAAUAUUCAAAAAUUCCAUAUCACCCUCAAGAGUUCUGUGUCUGAAUCCAGUGACACUGUGCCACCAAGAAAAAAGGGGAAGAAAGAUGGGGAUGUAGUAACUCCUUUGAGCACAGAGGAGAGACGUCAAAAGGACAGCAUACCACCCGAAACAGAUGAGAUCACUUGCCCAAGAAGGAAGAAGAAAAAGCGAGAGUCUAAAGACACUUGUUCUGUCAUACAUCAGGAUACAGCAGCUCCACUGGAAAAAGAGAGUAUUGGCAUAUCUUUGGAGGGGUGUGAGAGUUCUGCUUUGACUCCAGAUGACACAGUUUCUCAGAGAAAAACUAAGAAAAAUAAGAAUUCCCUCACCAAACAUGAUCCUGAGGGAAGACUGAAAAAUGAUGCAACUAAAAUAUCUCAGAGGAUGAACGCAACUGUAAAAAAUUCUGCUGAAGUGAGACUUGAACCUGAAAGUGCCUUUAUAUCCUCAGAGAGAAAGAGGAAAAAGACCAAGAGGAGGAAAUCCACUGAUUACGAAGUACCAGCGGUAGGACAUCAAGAUAAUGAUAACACUGCAAUACUAAUUGAAACGACCCAGAGUUCUAUGACCCAAUACAAAGAAACAGAGUCACAGAAGAAGAAGAAGAAGAAGAAAAAGAAAAUAAAUGAUAUCACUGCAAUGCUAAUUGAAACGACCCAGAGUUCUAUGACCCAAUACAAAGAAACAGAGUCACAGAAGAAGAAGAAGAAGAAGAAAAAGAAAAUAAAUGAUAACACUGCAAUGCUAAUUGAAACGACCCAGAGUUCUAUGACCCAAUACACAGAAACAGAGUCAAAGAAGAAGAAGAAGAAGAAGAAAAUAAAUUGAAAAACGAACAAGGAAUCAUUUGCCCCGAAGCGCACAGGUGGAAGACAGACCGGGGAGAUGUCAGAGGCGACGUCAGGCUGUCUGCCUUUACCACCGAUUAAUCCUGAUCCUGUAUCAAUCUCCCAUGAAUUUGUUUCAUCAGCAGAGAAGAAAAAGAAGCAUGGAAAAGACGAGGAUGAUGUAUGUAUGAUGCAUAUCAGGAUUACCUUGCAACCGAACACAUUGACACAGUGGUGAUGUCAUGAAGCAUGCCAUCUGAAUAAAACAACCCAUAGCUUGGAGAGGAUUUUUGAUGGGUGGCCUUUAGUUAUAUUUGUAAGUCGCUCUGGAUAAGAGCGUCUGCUAAAUUACUUAAAUGUAAAUGUUAUAAGGGAACAGAUUUUUAAAUGAGUAGAUUCAUUGUACACCACCCCUAUGAUGGUUGUUCUUCCACUCUUUAGAGACACUUGUAUGCGCAUUCAGAUGAUCAAUUAACAUAUUCCGAUGAUAAAUGUGCAUGCAUAGGCUAGUCAGAUAAACUGAACGUUUUCAGUGUUAAGUUACCACUAAAUGGUGUUUUGUAAAGAAUAUUUUUUUAUCCUAUCCUGUCACCUAGUGGACAACUUAAGACAAAACACAAUGGUUUUACUCAAACUGGUUUUAUUGCAGUGUUAGUGACAUGUUUAUAACUUGGAUUCUACUGUCAUGAUGUUUCAUUAGUUCUCCAUAUAAUGUAUGCCAGUGACGCAUGAGAAAGUGGUUGUGUACAUUUGAUAAGAUUUGUUUCUUGUUCAGUUUUGAAAUAGAUUACAUUUUUAAUGUAAUUCCCUUCAGUUAGGGACAUUGAUGCAAUAUCCUUUGUGUGCAGUGCAUCGUAUGAAGGCCUAGUCUAAACAUUGUCUCCACAACCAUUAUAGCUAUAGUAAUAUUUUUUAUAUUGGCUCCAUACAAGUGUAGUUGUAAGUAUGACUGUCUAUUGAAAGAUACACAAUAAAUGUACAGUUUAUCAAUG